UAAGAUAUAAAUAAUUUUAUUAGGUAAUUUUUACUGAAUCUUAUUAUAUGUUGAUUAUAUGGAGCGACAUAAUCGCUAAGCGAUAAAGCUCUCUAAUAAAGAUUUAAAAAAAAAGUGAAAGUUUUAAGAAGGGGAAUCCUUUGUUGAUAAAAUAUAAAGUGUGUGGGUGUGUAAAUGAAUUAGGUAUGCAAAUAGGUAUAAUUCUUAACGCCAACCUGUAUCAUAUCUAUACUUGAAUCAUAAAUUAAAAUGUUGUAAGUUGUGUGUAAGACAUCCUGUAGCCUGUAGGUACCUAUAAUUCAAGUUUGGAAAGUAACACUAUACCUAUAACUAUCGUGUAAAACGUAUGCAAAGAUAAUAAUGAGUCAAUUUUAACCGAUUGUGAUUACCAUUUGAUUAUUCUUGCGAAAUAGCAUUGAAACACAAAAAUGCGAUCACGCGAGCCCAACCGGCUCGUGACUCGUGAAUGUGAACGCAUCCGUCGCGGUUGUUUUGUUCCGUUCACGUUUUGCUGGCCGUCGCGCGAGCGCGAACAAAACGCCACACCAUUCUGUCAAAUCGUGUCAAACGCAGCGGUACUCGGUUUCGCUGUGGCCGCAUUUAUUUAACACGAUCAAUGAUUUUGUUAUUGUUGUGACCGCACGAAAUGAAAACAUUUCAGACGUCGCGUAGUGAAAAUAGAAUCAGUGUUGUGCUAAAUUGAAAGCUUCGUGUUAAAAUUGACAUGAAUUAUCCGUUUUGGUUUUGCAAAAUAGAUCGUUUGGCAAGGUCAAGAGAAUCUGGAGUGCGUGGGAACUGAUGCGUUCUGUUGUUGUUUCUGGUGCUUUCCAGUGUUGUGUUUUUGGUUGAUAAGCGAAGUGUUCGCGAUGGGGUCUACGGGGCUCACAUUGGCAGACUUGCCAAAUAUUUUUAUUAUGAUCGGCGCGCUGGUUGCGCUGUUCGCGAUGCUUGUUAUACUCCUCAGGAACAUGGAGUUUAUCGGCAUCGUCGGUGAGGGCAGGCACCACGACGCGUGGGCGAUGCAGCCCCCCCGACUGCUCAUGCAGCGGGUGCACAUUCCCUUCACGUUCAAACUGGAGGAGAACCACUCUAUAGGCUACAGCGGCGUGAGCAGCGUCGUGUCAUCCACAGUGCGUUACUACCACGCAGCCUGGUGGGGCGCGCCAGUACGAGAGUUACACGCAACUCUGUGGGGAUCCCUACCGCAGAUCCUCGCCUCGCCGCACCUCAACUUCACCAGAAGCAACCCACAUGACGAGCGGCCUCUCCGACUCAGCUCAGAGGAGCCGCUACAGCUGGGCCCGCCGCCUCGAACCUGCUACCCUCUAGUCGUGAUCCUCGCGCGCGACCCGCGCGACACCACUGAGCUCCGGCCCGACGAUACGGUAGCGUUGGUGAGCGUGGUACACAUUCGCGAUGACCAAUGCUCGCUUCCGAGCGGCAUCAUCGCGCAAUAUCUCAAGCAAGCCAACGGGCAUCUCUCCUGUCUCAAGCAACUAUACGUGACGGGCGAGCAAUGCGACCCGUCCGAGCGGUACGCGGGCGCGGAGUCCGCGCUGUGCUGCGUGUGCGCCUCGGCGCCGCUGUCGCGCGCGCUGCUGCCGUGCCGACACGCCUGCCUGUGCGCACACUGCCUGCGUGAGUACAUACUAGACUAGUGGCUACAACUAUACGUGGCGGCGAGCAAUGCGACCCGUCCGAGCGGUACGCGGGCGCGGAGUCCGCGCUGUGCUGCGUGUGCGCCUCGGCGCCGCUGUCGCGCGCGCUGCUGCCGUGCCGACACGCCUGCCUGUGCGCACACUGCCUGCCAAAGCUAGACAAGUGCCCGAUCUGCCGCAGCGCCAUCACGUCCUAUUUCUGCAUUCGAAACGACGAAGAACCGCUGUCUGAGCUUAAGCAGCAGCGCUUCCCGUUCAACAGGCGGCUCUUCAACCUGUUCCACUACCACUAGUGGAACUGGUUACAUAAUUGGUAACAUCACGUCCUACUUUUGCAUCCGAAACGACGAGGAGCCGCUGUCCGUGCUAAAGCAGCAGCUCUUCCCCUUCAACUUGUUCCACUACCACUAGUGGACCUAGUUCCAUAACUGGUAAUAUAUUCCGGCACACCUUUAGCAACACUAAUUGAAUAAAUACUCCGAUACCACUAGUGGAACAACUAGUUCAUAACUGUUAACAUGUUCCAGCACAUUAGUAGUACUAGUUGAACAAGUUCCGAAUGUUCCGCUACCAGUAAUGGAACAACUUGUUUCAUCAGUAGUUACACGUGUGUCAGCACCAGAAGUACCAAUAGUAAAAUAAAUCCAAAACCAUUAUGGGAACUAGAUCACUAGUGACUCGUUUUUUCACCACUACUAGCAGUUCCACUAGGUAGUUAUAUGUUUGGGAACAAGUUCCACUAAUUUUAGUGAUAUGAAUACUAUCACUAGUAAUUGUAGUGACUCGAGCACUCAACUAGUUCUAUACACACUAGUGAAACAUACUAUUAAGUGUUUAAAAAAAUAGAAAACUGUUCUACAAUAAUGGAACACACUCAAAACGUUCCAUAGCCGCAUUGGAACAUAUUAUGGACUACGAAACGUGAAUGUGAUUAAAGUAUAAAAAUAGUAAUUUUAAUAUAUGCACUAUUUGAUGUUUCACUUAGAAAUUGUAGUGAACUUUAAACAUUAGCAACAGUGGAGUGAACGUUGCCAUCUGACUGAAGUGAUGUGAAUAUAACUAAGUGAUAAAUACGAUAAAUUCAGUGUUAAGUUAAUUGAUAAAUUGGCGAUAAAAUCGUAAUGUCGUCGGUCGAUGUAUUAUGAACUUUUGGUACAUUUAAACAGCAACCCUUUACCCUUAUACCCUUUAAAAAUAUUUUUACGGUUGAUUUUUCAGAGCUAAUCACGUUGUGAGAAAACAAUGUGUACUUAGAUUUUAUUUAAAGUUAUAGACUACACAUUUUUUACAUUAUGGACAUUUUUAUUAUCCUAAUUUCCUAAUAGUCGAAAAAGGGUGUCUCAAGAUUUUCAUUUCCUUUUCGUUACCAUGUUCAUAGAUUUUGGGUAACGGAAUGGAAGUAACGAAUACGGUAUGAAAAUUCAGAGACACUUUCCUAUUAGAAUCGAAAUAGCUGGUGAUAUGGAGUGGAAAUAACAUAAGUAUUCCCAAAUGUGACAUAAAGUUUAGUGUACAACUUUAAAUUAAAUGGUUCACUUAUCCCGUGUUUUCUUUACAUUUGAUGUAAUAUUUUUGUUUAGAUUGACCGUAAGUUCUCGAAUUUCUUAUAAAAUGUUCGUCUACAUAGAUCAAUAGAUAAGUUUUGCAAUAACAAAUAUGAAACAAAGAAGUAGCCUAUCACAUAUACUUUUUAAAACUAUAUUUCCAUAGACAUUGUUUGGCGUUUUUUCAUUUUAAAGUUUAAAUCUAUUUUUUAAUAAGUAGAUUUAAAAACAAAGUAAACGUUUUCCCGCCAAAUAUUAUCUAUGGAUAUAUAGUUUUAAAAAGUGAUAGGCUAUCUCUAUGUUUCAUAUUUGUCUAUUGAAAAACUUAUCUACUGACCUAUAUACUAAUAUUCUAAACAAAUCCUAUAAUCAGAUGAACAUUUUAUAAGAAACAGGUCGAUGUACUGGCAAUUAUUUAUGUUAACUGUUUAGCUUUAGAGGCUAUUGAAAUUCUCAGGGUACUCUGUGUACAUAAUGUAUUAUUUUUGUGCUGUGAAGGGCCUAUAGACAUAGAAAUUGCUUUGAAGGUAAAUUUUUAAUACACCAAUUCUGAUAUUAACACAACUGAUCCCUGAGAAUUUUAAAUAUCAGUAACUCUUUCAGCUUUUAAUUUUGUUUAGUUAGUGCUUUUAAUUUCUUAGUCAGAAUAGUUUUAAGUUAUUUUGGACGUGUGAUGUUGUUUGUUUGAAGGAAUGUUAUUUUUAUUAUUUAAAAUACAAAAAGACAAUGUUUAUUUGAGAUUGUAUGCGCUGCGUAUAUAUUUGUGUGAUAUGAAAGAAUUUAUUAUUUCAGUUUUCUUUAUAAAUAAGUUAUUUUAUUUCAAUUAUAUGACUGAGAGCCUUUCGAAAUUAUAUACUACCUAUGUAAACGUGUUAACUGGGGUAUUUGCGACUAUAGGGCAAAAACAUCUUCAAAAAAUACAAGAAAGAAAAAGUUUGACACUAUUUCAACGUGACAUGUUUCCUUAUGCCGCAGAUAAUAGAAUUUCUUGUUUCCUAGUAAGUGCAUUUGCCCCAUAGAUCCAAUUUCCCCUGUCAAUCUUAUAUUAAAAUUCAGAACAAAAUAUAAAAUAAAGAUUCAUUGCGUCAUUCAAAAUUUAAAUUACACUAUCUUCGCAUUCUAUAAAAUUAAAGUAGUUUACUUAAUAUCUUUACUACCGACCAUUAAACCCUAAAAAUAUUCUCACAAUAUUGUAGAUUUUCGAUCUCUAGUAUUUUCCUCUAUACUCAUGACGUAUAAACUUACGAUUUACGAAAAUUCCUAGUAAUUUCAUUAGCCAAUAAGACGUCUGAUAGUUGGGAAUGUUUUGGCGUUGUAUGGAUACUUGUCCUACGCUAUCCUCAAAAACGUGUGAUUUAAAACUAAAAUUGGCAGAAAUUAGCCGUAUAUUGAAACAGUUACUUUUAUCAUAUAUUUUUGUGGACGAUUUUAUACUUGUACAAUUCAUCUUUGUAAUGUAUCCUGGUAAAGUCACAUUGACUGUUGACGACCGUAUUGCUGACAAAUAAAAUCUUACAAAACUAUUGUAACCAAGGUACUUCUUCUUCGUAACUAUAUGAAACUUUACUAUAUACGUGAUCGAGAUCUGAUGAUAAAGUCAGAAGGUGGAUAGUGGAACUCUUUAGCACUCUUCAUGUUUGGGGUCAUCCAUUAGUUACAGCACACGUUAGGGGGAGAGGGGGGUCAAGAAAAUGUGACAAGGGGGAGGAGGGAGUCACAUACUUUGGGACGUCACUUUAACUUCAUCAGUAAACUAUUUUUUUUAUUCGCCGUACAGUUAAAUACCGAGUUUUUCGAACGAUAAUCGUUUUUAUUCAUUUAAUUUUCUUUCUUAAUCGGUUUUGUGUUAUAAAGUUACUAAUAUUUUUUUAUUAAAAAUAUUAACUAAUUCGAUUUGCUGAUUUCGUUGAAAACAAAAUUGCCAAAAAUGUGACGUCACAUCAGGGGUGGAGGGGUUUGCCAGAUGUGAUCAAGUGUGGCACGGAGGGGGAGAGGAGUCAAAAAACCUCGAAAAUCGCGUGACGUAAUUAAUGGAUGACCCCUUUAGGCUAAUAUGACUCAAGUGCCCACAACACAAGCCUUAUUGAGCUUACUGUGGGACUUAGACAAUUUGUGUAAUAAUGUCUUAUAAUAUUUAUUUAUUUAUUUAUAUGAUUUGUUUUGUAUUGUAACUUACACUCCAAAAGUGUUAGUUGAUAUACGUGUGUAUCAAAAAAAUCCUGUUUUGGCUGAAAAUCACGAAAUGCGAUUGGUUGUCAACGGUCAACAUAUUUGUUCACCUCAACUUUUAUGUUUCGGUUAUUAUGUACCUAACAACGUAGGUAACUAGGUGCAUAUUGCAACGCAUUUCCCCAAAUAAAUGUGUGUAUAUAUAUGUGUGAAGAGAGGCGCUGUGAUAUCGGACAGGUUCGUGUAAAUAUAGCGUGUAUGUUAGUGUUAAACACAUAAGACAGUGAAAUGCUUGUUACGUACAUUCGCCAUCAGAUAUAUCGGAUCGGCCGAGGUGUUCAAAAAUAUCUGAACACACACUAGAGGCGUGUUCAGAUAUUUGUGAGCGCCUUGGCCGCUCCGAUAUAUCUUGACGACUACACAUCUAUCGUAUACCUCUUGCUUUUAAAGGUUGACUGUUUAAAGGCGUUGUUCCAAUUUUAACUUUUUUAUGUGCAAAUUAGAGUCGGACCAAGCUAACUUUGCAUGGUAUUUGUGAAGGCAUAGUGUGGCCGUGUCAUACUGUCAAAUCUCUAAGAAAAUAUGGAGUUUAUGAUGAUACCGCCUCACUUUGUUCUAUUUAAGCUUGUAAAGACUCUGAUAGAUUUCUUUUUUUAGUUUUUUGCGUGCAUCCCUGAACAAGUAGUAUAACAUCACAUCACUUUUGGAUAUAUCUGGGUACAUUAAGAGUCCACAGCAAGCUCGGUUCUCCAUACAAACGUAGUUACGUUCUCAUUUUAAAACGAAUUAGCUAGAUUGCUCUGACACUUUGUACAGUCAGCGUCAAAUACUUCGUAGCAGUCAAAGUGGCCAAAUAGUUCGGUACACCGUACUAAAUAUAUGGUGUACCGAACUAUUUGGCUACUUUGACUGCUACGAAGUAUUUGACGCUGACUGUACUUACAAUAGGAUAAGGUACAUCUAAGACUGUAAUUAGUUUAUAUAGCCUCAGAUACAACAGUAAAAAAAAAUACAGCGAAUUUAAGUUGUCCAUACAAAACUUGUUUUGCUCUAUUUUGUUUGCUUUAUAAGCUAGUAUAUAAACUAAUUACAGGCAUAGAUAUACCUCAUGUGCAAAGUUUCAUUAUAAUCCAACACGUAGUUUUAAAAUGAGAACGAUACUCCGUUUGUAUGGGAAGGUGAAAUUGCGCCGAGCUUGCUGCGGACUCUCUUAACACAUUCACUGCCGGGAACCCACCUGGUGGGCGCUCGUGAACUUUGUUCAGAACCCGCUGGCCGGGUUGUUUUGUGCGCAGCUAUAGACCACCGGUUUCUAGGGUAGUGCGCCGUUUUUUGUCUGGCAGUGAAUGUGUUAACGUAUACACACACACAUUGAGUACGUAAAAAACGCCGUUUUGAUGAAAGUAAAUUAAAUAAUAACACUAUACUAUACGAUACGAUUAUAUAUCUUGGUAAAAUACGUAUAAAUUUUACUCACUCUAAUUUAUUUAUAGCUUAGUCCAAUCAUUUUAAUUGUAAAUUAUUUUAGUAGUCUUCCAACUAUGAACCCUAUUGUUAAUGUCGUAGAUCUCAUUAUCGCGUCACACUUGACACUUAGAUUAACUUCAAGAUCACUUUUAGGGCUGACUAUAUAUUACGUCACUGUAGACAUUUUAGAUCGAUACUUAUUAUCACAUUUGUGUAAAUUCUCAAAGAAAUUGGAUAUCAACACGUCACGUGGUAUAUAGACGGCCCCGUAGUUCAAUUUAGUGAUGUUACAUCUAGUAUGUAAUCUUUGGUCCACGUUUUAGAAUAAGUUGGAAAAAAUUAUAAGAGGCAUAACCUUGUAGGUACACUAUUUUCUGUUAAUACAUGUCACGUCAUGUUAAUUAACUAAGUCUAACCAUUUUCAUCGGAAAGUCUUGCCAAGGACGCCAACGACAGCCACAGCCGACAGUUUCGUCAAUGCAAUACGAACUUAUGCGAGACUCCCUAAAGUUCAAUUUCGCUUAAAUAAUCGCGAUCAAAUGGCAUCCGGAGCAGGACAUAUUCCUUCGCCGUCCGGCGUUCAAAAUGGGCUAUUCCGUCAUAGCGGUUAUAUAAAAGGCUCACGGUACGCUAUAGGACUUAUUAAAUUAGAUAAAAUUGAAAUCAUUUUCAGUAAGAACACAGUUGCAUUUGUUUUGUUCCGUUCCAUUUUCAAACAAAACGAAAUCAACAAUGUUUCUAAUACUGUAGCUUCAAAUUUCAGUUACAAAGUUUGAAUUUUAUUCCUUAUAUGCCUGGGCAUUAGGAGGAUAUUACAAACUGAUUGCGUGAAGCAGUUUUCGAUUCUAAUCAGAUGAUCUUUGGUACUCUGCUAAUAUUGACGACGGAAUCUGCUGAUGACGGAAGCCCCUACGGACGGGCCUUUUUUUUUUUAAAGUAUUUGUUAAAUUUGGGCCAAAGUGUUACUUAGCGACAGGAUCAGAUACGAUUUGCCGUCCACGCUCAUGAUACAGAUGUACUGCAUAAUCCUUUGCCACCGUAUUUUCUCGGAAACGUUCGUAUUUGUCAUGCUAUUUCAGUCAACCUCAGUACUUUUUGUACUAAGACUGACUAAAAUAGAAUAACACGUUCGUGCGUUUCCGUGAAAAUACGAUGGGACAAGAUUAUACACUACAUCUGUAAUAUGCGUCAAUCUGCCAAUUCCUUUAGUAUAAUAUGUACAGUUUACUUUUGGACUCCUUUAAAUCAGCUUUUUCGAGGCUCAAGACUUGCAGCGAUAAUUGUUUUGUAAUUUUAUUUUAAAGAGUGAAUUGGCAAUGCCUUUUAAUUUGGUAAUGCCACGGUGUAUGUGAUAUUUUGAAUGUGUUUAUUGAUAAUAUAGAUUCUAGUCUGUACUACUGAGUUAUAUCUGUGAAUGGUGAAUUUAAUUUGUUUAAAAAUGUGAAAUAAAGGAGUCUAAAGAAAUGUAAUUAAUCAAGAGUUUAGAUAUCGCAAAUCGGUAUUAUUAAAACGCUAGUAUUAAUACAACAUAAAGUGUAUAUUUUUAUUUAGAACAUUGUAACGAAAUUGGAAAAUAAACGUAAUUGCCAAAGUAA